rnacentral:rRNA from 1 species
GAUGAACGCUGACAGAAUGCUUAACACAUGCAAGUCAACUUGAAUUUGGGUUUUUAACCUAGGUUUGGGUGGCGGACGGGUGAGUAACGCGUAAAGAACUUGCCUCACAGCUAGGGACAACAUUUGGAAACGAAUGCUAAUACCUAAUAUUAUGAUAAUAGGGCAUCCUAUAAUUAUGAAAGCUAUAAGCGCUGUGAGAGAGCUUUGCGUCCCAUUAGCUAGUUGGAGAGGUAACGGCUCACCAAGGCGAUGAUGGGUAGCCGGCCUGAGAGGGUGAUCGGCCACAAGGGGACUGAGACACGGCCCUUACUCCUACGGGAGGCAGCAGUGGGGAAUAUUGGACAAUGGACCGAGAGUCUGAUCCAGCAAUUCUGUGUGCACGAUGAAGUUUUUCGGAAUGUAAAGUGCUUUCAGUUGGGAAGAAACAAAUGACGGUACCAACAGAAGAAGUGACGGCUAAAUACGUG